CAGCAGCCGCGGGAAUACGAAGGGGGCUAGCGUUGUUCGGAAUUACUGGGCGUAAAGGGCGUGUAGGCGGCCAUUCAAGUUAGAUGUGAAAGCCCUGGGCUCAACCUAGGAAUUGCAUUUGAUACUGUUUGGCUUGAGUUCGGGAGAGGUGAGUGGAAUUCCCAGUGUAGAGGUGAAAUUCGUAGAUAUUGGGAAGAACACCAGUGGCGAAGGCGGCUCACUGGACCGACACUGACGCUGAGGCGCGAAAGCGUGGGGAGCAAACAGGAUUAGAUACCCCUGUAGUCCCUGUCUCUUAUAC
rnacentral:rRNA from 1 species